AAAGAAGAAGGAGACAUGUCUUACAUGGCUGGAGCCGGCGGAAGAAAGAGAAGCGGGGCCAGACGUUCUUCGCUGAGAGUCGUCGGGGUUUCCUGCUUCAACAGUGCUGGGACGGAACCCGGCGCUCGUCCCCCGUCCCCCAUCUCGGCCGGCCGCCCAUAGCCAGCCCUCCCUCACCUCUUCACCGCGCCCUUGGACCGCCCCAAGGUCCCCGCCGCCCGCCGCUCCAGCACCGCGCGGCCACCGCCGCCGCCGCCGCCUGUCCUUAGCCUCCGCCAUGACCACCGCGUCCACCUCGCAGGUGCGCCAGAACUACCACCAGGACUCAGAGGCCGCCAGCAACCGCCAGAUCAACCUGGAGCGCUACGCUUCCUACCUUUACCUGUCCAUGUCUUACUACUUUGACCGUGAUGAUGUGGCUUUGAAGAACUUUGCCAAAUACUUUCUUCACCAAUCUCAUGAGGAAAGGGAACAUGCCGAGAAACUGAUGAAGCUGCAGAACCAACGAGGUGGCCGAAUCUUCCUUCAGGAUAUCAAGAAACCAGACUAUGACGACUGGGAGAGUGGGCUGAAUGCCAUGGAGUGUGCAUUACAUUUGGAAAAAAAUGUGAAUCAGUCACUACUGGAACUGCACAAACUGGCCACUGACAAAAAUGACCCCCAUCUGUGUGAUUUCAUCCAGACGUAUUACCUGAAUGAGCAGGUGAAAGCCAUCAAAGAAUUGGGUGACCACGUGACCAACUUGUGCAAGAUGGGAGCACCCGAAUCUGGCUUGGCAGAGUAUCUCUUUGACAAGCACACCCUGGGAGACAGUGAUAAUGAAAGCUAAGCCUCAGGCUAAUUUCCCCAUAUCCAUGGGGUGAAUUCCCUGGUCACCAAGGUAGUGCAUGCAUGUGUUGGGGUUUCCUUUACCUUUUCUAUAAGUUGUACCAAAACAUCCACUUAAGUUCUUUGAUUUGUACCCUUCCUUCAAAUAAAGAAAUUUGGUACCCCCC